rnacentral:lncRNA from 1 species
AUCCACAUACUUUUAUAGAUAUCUUCCAUUUUCAAAGUACAUGUCUAGUAACAUUUCUUGACAAAAUCAUCUAAAUUCACAAUCUGAAAAUAAUUUCAUGUAGCACUCUUUGUUUCUAUGAUUCUUUUUCUAUAUACAAAAAUUUAAUCAUACAAGUGGACUGCCGGUAACAUACUCGGUAAAAGCCAAAGCCACCAAACCCAACAUCGCAGCCCGCCCGUUCCACAGCUCUGCAUCCGACGUCAUCAACCCAUUCGACUUCGACUCCGCCCUCACCCCUUUAAACAACGGCACCAACGACGCCACCGACAGCACCAAACUCGUCGCUACAAACGCCGGUACACCACCGUGAGAGAUCUGAGCGAACACAUCCUGACCGUUGCUCAACUCUACAGCCAUCGCUGACACAAACCCUAUCAUCGCCAACCUUCCGUUAAUCCUCUCUGGUGCAGGCCCACCGAAGUUGGUGUGGCUGGAGUUUUGGUUGAAGGUUGUUGAUCUUGUGACGUGCAUCUGACGACAGCAAAGUUGAUGUUUCUUGUAGAUGAAGAAGGGGUGGUGGUGAGACGUGCAACGGGGGUUGCCAUGAAAACUGAAGUAGCAGCCAUUACAAUGGAUGAUUGAGAGAAGAAGGUUGUGGAAUGAAUGUUUUUAUAUAG